GACGAACGCUGGCGGCGUGCUUAACACAUGCAAGUCGAACGGAAAGGCCCUGCUUUUGUGGGGUGCUCGAGUGGCGAACGGGUGAGUAACACGUGAGUAACCUGCCCUUGACUUUGGGAUAACUUCAGGAAACUGGGGCUAAUACCGGAUAGGAGCUCCUGCUGCAUGGUGUGGGUUGGAAAGUUUCCGCGGUUGGGGAUGGACUCGCGGCUUAUCAGCUUGUUGGUGGGGUAGUGGCUUACCAAGGCUUUGACGGGUAGCCGGCCUGAGAGGGGGACCGGCCACCUUGGGACUGAGGUACGGCCCAGACUCCUACGGGAGGCAGCAGUGGGGAAUAUUGCACAAUGGGCGGAAGCCUGAUGCAGCAACGCCGCGUGCGGGAUGACGGCCUUCGGGUUGUAAACCGCUUUCGCCUGUGACGAAGCGUGAGUGACGGUAAUGGGUAAAGAAGCACCGGCUAACUACGUG
rnacentral:rRNA from 1 species